UCGAGAGUUUGUCCUGACUCAGGAUGAACGCUAGCGGCAGGCUUAACACAUGCAAGUCGAGGGGUAUAGUUCUUCGGAGCUAGAGACCGGCGCACGGGUGCGUAACGCGUAUGCAAUCUACCUUUUACAGAGGGAUAGCCCAGAGAAAUUUGGAUUAAUACCUCAUAGUAUGUGAGAAUCGCAUGGUUUUCACAUUAAAGUUCCAACGGUAAAAGAUGAGUAUGCGUCCCAUUAGCUAGAUGGUAAGGUAACGGCUUACCAUGGCAACGAUGGGUAGGGGUCCUGAGAGGGAGAUCCCCCACACUGGUACUGAGACACGGACCAGACUCCGUACGGGAGGCAGCAGUGAGGAAUAUUGGAC
rnacentral:rRNA from 1 species